UAGGGAUAGAAGCGGAUACCGGCCAUGUGGUUAAUGCCUGUGCAGUAUGAGCGGAUAGCCCGGCCGCAG
rnacentral:sRNA from 1 species